rnacentral:rRNA from 1 species
ACUCAAAGGAAUAGACGGGGGCCCGCACAAGCAGCGGAGCAUGUGGUUUAAUUCGAAGCAACGCGAAGAACCUUACCUGAACUUGACAUCCCCUGCAUUACUCGUAAUGGAGGAAAUCCCUUCGGGGACAGGGAGACAGGUGGUGCAUGGUUGUCGUCAGCUCGUGUCGUGAGAUGUUGGGUUAAGUCCCGCAACGAGCGCAACCCUUAUUAUUAGUUGCUACCAUUAAGUUGAGCACUCUAAUGAGACUGCCCGGGUUAACCGGGAGGAAGGUGGGGAUGACGUCAAAUCAUCAUGCCCCUUAUGUUCAGGGCUACACACGUGCUACAAUGGUGAGAACAACGAGACGCAAGAUCGCAAGAUGGAGCAAACCUCAAAAACUCAUCCCAGUUCGGAUUGUAGGCUGAAACUCGCCUACAUGAAGCCGGAGUUGCUAGUAAUCGCGAAUCAGCAUGUCGCGGUGAAUACGUUCCCGGGCCUUGCACACACCGCCCGU